rnacentral:lncRNA from 1 species
GUGAUUUUAUGUGCAAUCACAUAAUUUUGAAUCUAAGAUUUUUCUUAGCUUUUAAAAAAUUAAAUAAAAGAGGUAAAGGUGUUCUAAAAUUCAGGUCUGAUUUUAUCCAAAAAUUAUUUAGUGUCUUACAUUUACCCACAAAAUAAUUUUUUUCCUAAAUCACUUUCCAGUCAAAACAAUUUUAUGUGUUCUCUGCACUCUGGUAAUCAACUCUUGUCAUUGUACAAAUGAUUUAGUCUAAUAGAUAUAUCAGCUACAGCAUUCUACCACCUGAAAUAUCCUCCUUCCAUAGCUUUAUAUAUCCUAAGCCUGCUAGUUUUGAAAUUUCCAUUAAGAUGCUAUCAGUUCCAUGCAAAUAUUUCUAAUCUAUUUUCUAAGUUGGGUUCUCAAGGAAACAGGUAUGAGAUGGAGAUUUGCUUGUAUGCAGAAGGUUUAUUUGAAGUGCUACUGAGAGAGCACUUGCAAUGGAGUGAGGGAAGAGGGACUGGACAGAGGAAGAGAUGAAAGUUUGAUGCAAAUACAAUACCAGUUUAGAUCAUCCAACGUACUAGUCUGUAGAUAACCCUUCAUAUUUGUCCCCUGAAGAAAUGAACUUAGACAUUUCUAGUUUUGCAAUGACUGUUCAUUGGAUUCAUGCUGCCCCUAGAAAGAGGGUGGAACAAUUCCCGUCCAUGGCAAUUCCUGAACAGAGGCUCAGAUGUCUUUCUUGGCUGUGAAGCAAGUAUCUCAGUAUGUACCACAGCACAUUACACUCUUCUCUAAGAUUCUACAGUAUCCUAUAUUUACCACAUUUGGGUCUUUUUGUUGUUUCUGGCCUUAGAGUGUAGCUCUUUGUAUAGUUAGUCAAUAUUCACUACUGGCCUCUAAAUUUCUUUUUUUUUUUUUUUUGGCAGGGGGUGCGGGGUAAUUCCAUAAAUGAGUUUGCACAGUACAUUCUACAAUAUAGAAAUUUGAUAAAUACCUGUUAAAAGAGUGAUUAAUACAUGAAUGAAGUGCCCUGUUGAAAAUUGUUUCAGUAUUAAAAAUAUUAACACUAAGAAAAAAAUGAAAAAUGAUUUCUAUUUAAAUAUAGUACACUUCUGUAAAUAAAAACAGGCUACUCGUGUUGCAAUGACAUGGCACUAUUCCAAGAAGGUAGAUCUGCACUGGGCAAAUUGAUUUAUAAAUACCCCAGGGGAGUGGUUUUCAAAUUGUAGCUCUAAGAGCUGAUUGUGGUGGGUGUCUCUGGAAAUCCUCUCCUACUUUUUUCCAGAACAGCUCAAAUUUAUUGAUUAUAUUUAUAUAGUUAAAAAGUUUGAAAGCUUGCUCUAGGUUACAUAACACUAACAAAUUAAAUUAUACUACAUGAAAACUCUUUCCCAAUAUAUAAAUAUAGUUUUCAUGAGAAGCUACAACAAUGUAACUUGUCAUAAUAAACUAAAGACUGAAAAACAAGCCAUAUUAAAACUUAAAUAGGGUUUAUAUAAUAUUAAUUGAGGGUGUUUAUUCCCAUGAUUUCUUGGUGUGCAUGUUUAGCCAAGUGACUUUGACAGGAGUGAAUAAAAAUGAUUGCCAUGAACAAGAAAAAUGGUAAAUGGUAAAGUACACAGACACCAAAUUAGAAACCAAAAAACCUGGUAUUUAAAACUAAUUAGCUACGCAACACUUAGUACAUCAUUUAAUUUUUCUGAAUUUCGGUUCUGUACACCUAAAAAUAGAAUAAAAAGGUUAGAUUAACUUUAUUGUGACUUGCUACUCUAUAACUGUACAAGUUACUAAUAAAAACAACUUAAUUACAUAAUAUAAUAAAACAAAAAUAGAAGAAUACUUUCUUUACAAAAUUUUUAAAAAUCCUCUUUUCAGAUAAUGCUCCUGGUAUGUUUAAGAGUAUACUUGUUGCAUGCUGCUUUUUAAGUCUAUGCCAAUACGUAAAGUAUUAGAAUUGGAGUGAUUAAUUUUAUUUGACAGUGAUAUCAAUGUAUAUUUGAAAAAUACAAGAGAACCAGUAAUUAAGUUUGGAAAGUUGAUCAGGUCAGUCAAAAAAUAUAUGAAACAUCAAUAUCUUCCUUUAAUACCUACAAUAACCAGUUUGAAAAUCUAAUGGAACAUAUCUCAUUUAUGAUAGCAUGCACACACACACACACACACACACGCAUACACACACAUCCUAUUAAAGUUUAGAAAUAAAUAGAAUGAAAAUAUGUGUGAAGAACACUAUAAAUCUUUAAUCAGGAUUACAAAAAGCUAACUAUAUGGAUAGAUGCCAUGUUAUAGAUGGAAAGACUCAAUAUUUUUAAAACUAUAAUUCCUUCAAAAAUAUCAUACAACAUCCACGUAAAUAACAAUGGCACAGGGCUGCUGAUAAUAUUUGGCAGGAAUAAACAGGCAAGCAUUAACUGCUAAUUUUUAAAAAAAGAAUGAAAAUGAGGAGGCACUUAUUCUACCGAUUCAUAUAUUAUAAAGCUCAGGUACACAAGAGUACCUGAGAAACAGAAACCUUGCCCAUUACUAGACAUUUAUACUACUAUGUCAAUGACAUUAUUUUUAAUUCUUUUGUUUCAUUCCCCAUAAUAAGAAUAGAAAUUAAUUUAGGGAGAGAAACUUGUUCUCUUCUUGCUUGUACUUUGUGCAGCAGCACACGGAUUUUUAAUGUGUAUGUAGCGUGCCCUUAAUAUAGGCAUUUUGUAUUUAUUUGAAUGUAAUUAAAAAUUUCAACACUAGAAUAUUCCCAUCAUAAUAAAGAGCCUGACCUCAUUUGUGUUGCUGGCUGCUGACUUCUUUUUAAGCCUUACCCUCCCUUUCUUUGGCCCCACAUCUGUACAGUCUGAUUAAGAAAGGCCAUCCUACAUCUACUUAUUUGACACCUGUAGGAAACUUGAGCUUCUCAAAUCUCCAGCCCGCAUGAGUGGGAACCUUUUGCCAGCCCUAACCCCUAGUCAACAAAAAGGCCCAGGCCACUCCCUCUGUUUUGUCCAAACCAGCCUGAAUCUGUCUGGGGCCAUUCUGCUCUUCUUGGGAGUCUCUAUGUGAGUAAUGAACUUUCUUUCUCACUUAAUGUGUGGAGUAUCACCAGCAUUGACAUCUAAAUAGGUGACCAAAAACACUCAUAUGAUGCAAAAAGUAAUCCAAUUUUUUUUUCUAAAAAUCCAUUUUUAAAGUCAGUUUGAAAUGUGAGACAAAAAUAUAAAAUUGAACAUUUGUAAUCAUGUACAUUAUUCAAACUGAGUUUCUUGACACAAAGAAUGGAUAUAUUUCUUUAAAAUGUGACACUGGGGCAGAAGCUGACAGGGACAAAUGUACACAUAGUCCCACAAAAUAAAAUUUCAUAAUUAUUGUAUUAAAUAAUUGUUUUGGUUAUAAAUUUUCUAACAGCAAUAUCUUACAUAUUGAAUUUCUACAUGAAAAAUACUGACAUAUUAUGGUGUCUCUCUUUCCUUCCUCCUGAUCCUCUCACUAAAGUGUUUUCUAAGCAACCUCCUAAACUAUUAUUUUGUCUUGGUAUGAAAGCUUCAGAAGAAGAAAUAUAUUCAGGAUCCUGCAUCCUAGCCAAACCAUGAAUUAAUAAAUUGGCAGGAUUAGAAUCAUGUUCAACAACCUCCCUUGGAUUUAUACCUGCCAGCUCUCUACAUAGAUAAGGCUGGAAGAUUUUGGCAACACCUUGAGGCUAGAUUAGACUUAUUCAUUUUUCAGUUGAAAAGUCUUUCUCUGCCAAUAUAUUCAAUACAUUUAAUUCUCAAGUACUUUUGUUGAUAACAGCCAAAAUUCUCAUUAAAAUUAUCCUUGGCAAAGAAGACACAGCAUUACUAUGGUUUGAAAUCCCCACCAAAACUCAUCUUGAAAUGCAAUUGCCAUUGUAAUGGUAUUGAGAAGUAGAAACUUUAAGAGAUAAAUAGAUCAUGAGAGUUUUGCCUUCAUGAACGGAUUAAUGCUGUUAUUGCAUUAAUAACUAUAAUGGGUUAAUUGUCACAAGAGUUUGGUCCCCUUUUUGUCUCUGUCUCAUGCGCUUGCUUGCCAUGUGGUGUCCUUUCACCUAGGAUAACCCUUAUCAGAUGCCAGCUCCAAGCCCUUGGAUUUCCCAGUUCCAGAACUGUGUGCCAAAUAAAUUUCUGUUCUUAAUAAACUACGAAGUCCAUGGUAUUCUAGCAGCAGAAGACAAAUCAAGAGAGAAAACUGGUACCAAUAAGUGGAGCUGUUGUUAUAAUAAAUACCUGAAUAUGUGGAAGUGACUUUGGAACUGCAUAAAGGUAGAGGCUUGAAGAAUUUGAAGGAUCAGACUAGCAAAAAAACUGUACUGCUGUGAAUAGAGCUUUAAGAACAAUUCUAGUGAGGACUUGGAAGAGGAGAGCUGUAGAGAAAGUCUGAAUCUUCUUAAGAGUUUAUUUAAUUUGUUGUGACCAGAAUACUCAUAAAAAUACGGAGAGAAAAGGACAUUCUGGUGAGGUCUCAGACAGAAAUGAGUAAUAGGGUAUUGGAAACUGGAUUGAAAGCCAUCCUUGCUGUAAAGUAACAAACACCCUGGCUGAAUUGUGGCCAUAUUCUAGGACUUUGUAGAAUUCAGAACUUAGGGGCAAUGAACUAGAAUAUCUGGUUGAAGAAAUUUCUAAACAGCAGAGCAUUCAGGCUUCUGCCUGGCUACUUUUACCUGUACAUAACAUAAUAAGAUGUGAGAAAAAUAAACGACUUAAAGAUAGAUUUUAUAUUAAAGACAGAAGCAGACAAAAAAUCUGAAAAACUUACAGGGUGGCUAUGUAAAGAGUGAAAACCUAUGUUCAGGGACAGGCAUGGUGGCUCACACCUGUAAUCCUAGCACUUUGGGAGGCUGAGGCAGGCAGAUCAUGAGGUCAGGAGAUCAAGAACGGCCUGGCCAACAUGAUGAAACCCCGUCUCUACUAAAAAUACAAAAAAUUAGCCAGGUGUGGUGGCAUGUGGCUGUAGUCCCAGCUACUCAGGAGGCUGGGGCUGGAGAAUCACUUGAACCCGGGAGGCAGAGGCUGUAGUGAGCUGAGAUUGCACCACUGCACUCCAGCCUGUGCGAGACUGUCAAAAAAAAUUAUAUAUAUAUAAUAUUCAGGAGAGAAUAUCAAGGGUGCAGUCAAGUACUAUUUGCUAAAGAUAUUAACAUGGCUACAAAGGAGCGAUGUGCUAUUUAUCAGGACAAUAGGAGAAAGAUUUAAAAGGAAUUUCAAAAGUCUUUGAAGCUGCUGCUGCCCUCACAGUCUCUCGGAAGGCAAAAUGAUUUCAGGGGAUAUGCCCAAGGCACUCAUCAUGGGCUCCCUGUCCAGGGCCACCUAGCAACUCUUCUCCCCUUAUUCCAGUGUAACAUUCUUCACCUGCCCUAGUUGUGGCUCAAGUGGACCCAGGUAAAGCUUGGGCUGUCAUUCUGCAGAGUGCAAGUAGUAAGCUGUGGUAUCAUCAAUAUGGUGUUACACCUUCAGGCAUACAGUGUAAGAACUCUGGCUAUGGAUUCCUCCACUAAAGUUUCCAAGGAUGUCACAAAGAGCAUGAAGACUCAGGCAGAGACUUGUCUCCAGGGUCAAACCACCACAGAGAGCCCGUACUAAGACAAUGUUGAGUAAAAAUGUGGGUUUGGACUUGCCACAAAGAGUUUCCACUAGGGCAAUGACUACUGGAGCUAUGGAAGUGGGACCAUCCCUAAGACCACAGAACUGUAGGACUAAAACAGCAUGUGACUCUAACCUGUGAAAGCUGCAGAAGCUGGGUCCAGCAAAGCCCUGGGAGCAGGGUUGCCUGAGGCCUUGCGGGCCCAAUCCCUGUCUCAGCGUAUCCAGAAAUGAGGACAUGGUGUAAAAGGAUAUUGUUUCUCGGCUUUAUGACUUAAUAUUAUUUUUCGUGUUGGGUUUUAGACUUACUUAGGACCAGUUAUUGUUCUUUUCUUGCCUAUUUCUCUGUUUUGGAAUAGAAAUGUCUAUCCUAUGACUGUCCCACCAUUGCAUUUUGGAAGUAGAUAAUCAGUUUUGAAUUCAUAGUUUCACAGCUGGCAGAAAUUUGCGUCAUGAUGAAUCAUGUGAGUCUCUUCCAUAUCUGAUUUAAAUAAGACUCUGAAAUGUGGACUUUUGAGUUAAUGCUGAAACAAGUUAAAACUUUUGGAACUAUAGGGAUAGAAUGAAUAUAUUUUAUAUGUGAGCGGGACGUGAAUAUUGGGGGUCAAAGGAUGGAAUACUAUGAUUUUAGUGUCCCCUCCUAAACUCACAUUGAAACUUAAUUGCUAUUGCAAUGGUAUUAAGGAUAGGGACAUUGAGGUGAUUAGAUCAUGAGGAUGCCACCUCGUAAAUAGAUUAAUGCCCAUAUAAUGGGAGUGGAUUAGUUAUCCAGGAAGUCUUGGCCCCCUUUUUCGCUCUAUCUUGUGCAGCUGCUCAGCAUGUGAUGCUCUUCUGCCAUGAGAUGACCCUCUCCAGAUGUGGGUGCCAUGGUCUUGGACUUCCCAGCCUUGAGAAUCAUAAGCCAAAAAACUUCCAUUUUUUAUAUAUUUCCCAAUUUGUGGUAAUCAGUUAGAACAGCAGAAAAGGGACUGAUACAAGUACCAAGAGAAAGAUCCAGGCUAUUCUCUAUUUAAAAUAUUUAUUUCCUCUACUUCUAGUUUUUGUACACCUAGUUCACUUCUAAUAUUAAAGUUUUAUAUUUUACUCUGACUUUUUAAGGGCAUUUAUAUUUCAAUUGACUAGCUAUUUUUCUUUGGGUUUCAGGAAAGAAAGGAAAAUACAUGCAGAAAGAAAAAGGAUGGGUAAAAUACAGAAUAUAAACUUCCAAAUGUCUGUCUCCUUUGUGUAAAGGGUAUAGGAGAAUUUGUUUGUUUUAUUAAUCAUUUCAUUUUAAAUCCAAGAGGCGGUACAAGACAAAUGGAAAAUGUCAAGAAGGAUGACAUGACAAAGAGUCUAAUAAACUGCAGAAUGCUUAUACCACUGAGAGGAGCUAAACAACAUAAACUGCCUUCUGGGAAUGGAACAGCUUAUUUAGGUGUGAAAGAGAAGAUUAAAAAAGGAAAGAAAGAAAUUUCGACAGAGAUAAGGCUGUUAGUGUUAGACCUUAGAAAAUCAUUGGCCCUUAUUUCUCUCUGAGGAGGUAAGAAUCUAAGGGUUUAAGAUUGGAAGGGCAAACUGAAUAAUACAUUUUCUGAAUAUGUUAAGUUUUUGCAUUCUAGUUAUUCAGAUGGAAAAAUAUCAACUUGAUUUCAUAUAUGAAUGUCAUAGGUACCUAAAAAAGAAGUAGUCUACUGUGUGUAUUUUUGUGUAUAUGGAGAUUCUUAAAUGAAAUAAUGAAAGAACACAAUCUUUUAUAUGUAUUAUAGUGAUCAAGGAUCUAUACAAAAUUAUACAGGUAUACACAUGCAUUACAAUUCAUUGAUUUCACAAAUACCAUAAACUAUUAACUGUUUGUGAAUGUGUGUUUACAUUAAUACUUUCUUCUUCUGAAACAACCAUGUUAUUAACUUCUUUCUACAUAGAUUGAAAAAUAAAUUAUAGCCAAUUUUUUGCUAAGGUUUUACUGUAUUCUUACAAUUAAGUUUCACCAGAACUACUAUUUAUACUGUCAAUUAAUCACCAAAGGUGCUUAUUUUUCAAAGAAGUUAAAAAUUUUUUGGAAAACAUAAUACCAAAAGGAAUCCUAGGUCAAUAAAAGCUGCUUCAUGUUAUAUUUCCUCUGAAGGAAAAACUCUAUAUAAAAUAAAAAAAAUGAGGAAUCAAUGUAGUGAUGAAAAUUAAUUCCAUCUUAAAGCAUUUGUGUUUUUCAGAUUUUUGAAAGUAUAUUGUUAUCACGGUUUUUCCUAAAAACAUACAGGAGACUAUAUGGAUUGUCCUCGGGUUAUAAUUAAUCAUGGAGGAAAUUUUUAAAAUAGUCUACCCACAUCACAGGAUGGUACUAAGCUUUGGCUAUUGAGAUAAUUAGAGUCUGAUGCAAUGCACAGCUUUUAAUAAGAACUUCCUAACAGUGCCUUGUGAGUUUUCUUUUACAUACCAUGUAAAUCUUCAAUCCUUUGUGUUUGUUAAAUAUCAUUUUAUAUGUAUAAUACUUGUAGGCCUUUUUUGAAGAGACAUUGAACACUCAAUGCAUUACGUGCAAUACAAGUUUGUCCUUCAUAAGGAAGUAUUAGGACUGGCUAUUUUCACUCCCUAUCCCAGCCACUCCCCAUUUUGCCUGAUAAUUACUAGAUAGACUACAAAAGAAUGGCUGAAGUCUGCUAUACAGCUAAAACUAGUCCAUGAAUCAACAUUCAGGUUGGAAUUAGGCAGUAAAGACCCAACAGGAAAAUAUAGAAGUUACAUGAAGGAUACAUGCCCAGGGAAAUCAAAAUAAUACACAACCUUCUGGCCUUUCCUAACCCCUCCUGGUUCUACUGCCUGAAACUUGCUUCCUUUUACUUUUCUAGCUUUAUUUUACUCUUCCCUUUGGUGAACGUGUAUUUAAGAUUGUUGGGGUAUCAUUGAUGGACAUUUGGGUUGGUUCCAAGUCUUUGCUAUUGUGAGUAGUGCCGCAAUAAACAUACGUGUGCAUGUGUCUUUAGAAAAUGUGGCACAUAUACACCAUGGAAUAUUAUGUAGCCAUAAAAAAUGAUGAGUUCAUGUCCUUUUUAGGGACAUGGAUGAAGCUGGAAACCAUCAUUCUCAGCAAACUAUCACAAGGACAAAAAACCAAACACCGCAUGUUCUCACUCAUAGGUGGGAAUUGAACAAUGAGAACACCUGGACACAGGAUGGGGAACAUCACACACCGGGGCCUGUUGUGGGGUUGGGGGAGGGGUGAGGGAUAGCAUUAGAAGAUAUACCUAAUGUAAAUGACAAGUUAAUGGGUGCAGCACACCAACAUGGCACAUGUUUACGUAUGUAACAAACCUGCACAUUGUGCACAUGUACCCUAGAACUGAAAGUAUAAUAAAAAUAUAUAUAUAUAUAUAUUUAAAAAAAAGAUUGUUGGGGUAGCAUCCCUCACUAUCUCCUUACCUUUCUCCAACUAGUUAACAUUUCUCAAUAUUUGGUUCAAAGCUUACAUGCUAGGAGAAUCCUACCCUGCCAACUUCUGAUUUUCUUUCCUUAUCCUACACAAGGUUGAGCACCUCUUUUCAUCUACCGGAACACACAGUGCAUACGUCUUUGAAACAUAUCAGAAUACUAAAUUCUUUUUUAAAUCUACCUUUUCCACAAAAAAAUAAAUUCCUCCUGGAUGGGGACUCAUACUGUACAUCUUUUCUCUUCCAUUUUUCCCCGUAAUUUAUUUCUCUAAGACUUAGCCUAGAGCCUCGCACAUAUUUGGGUUUUGAUAAACAGUUGUGAAGUAAAAGAAGACGAAGGAUGGAGAGAGGAGAAAAAAAGAAAGUCAAUUUUAAAGCUAGGUGUGUUUGGCAGACGUUGAGACACGAAAAAUCUGGUAACCUGGGUUCUAUCCAAACCUGACACUGCUGGGGCACAUUCUCUUUUGCAGACCGUGAGGCAUGUAUUUUGAGCAUCUAUGCUAGUCUUAAAGGUGAGUGCUUCGUACCUGUUACAUGACAGGCAUUUUCAAUAAAUGACUACGUCUCCUCAUUUGUCCACAUUCCAAACUGCAGGAUCAAGAAGUGGUGGUAAUAUUCCCUGAGCUUUUCAUUACCCCUCCUAAUCUGACACUUUUUCUUUUGCAGGCAAGUGCCCAUUCUUUGAGCUUCACACUCUUUCCUAUGCUACACUUUAUUGCUUUUUUCUGUCAUCAUUAACUGAUCUUUUGGUAAUUUUAUUUUAUUUGUAAGGCCUUUGACUCCUCCUUCACAAUAAUACCAAACUAUCUCUCAUCAUUUUAAAAGGUCACUUCAAUUUCUGUACAGAUGAUCUUCACUUCUACUUAGGCCUCAACCAACACAAAUGACCAUUUACUGGACAGAAACAUACAUCACCUCUAAAAUCAUAGACUCCAGUAUGUCACAUAUGACCAAUCAUUUCUCCCUACCUUACUGGCACUACACUUAUUCUUUGACAUCACCAAAUCUCCACACUCACCUCCUCUACAUGACAAGCUUUCAAUAUUUGACACCAUCUGUGGCUUGCUUUGAGAUAUCUUUCUUUUAGUUUUCAUCACCUGGUAUCGUUUCUAGGCUGAUCAUCUUAGUUCUCUUUCUCUGUCUUUCUCUUGUGUUUCAAUGUUUCUGUUAAAAAUUUAGUAUCCAGAAUUGACACAUUAUUACAGAUGUGAUCUGACUAGGAGAGAAUAGUGUAAGACAUUAGAUCUCUUUAUCUUAGCAAAAUUCUUCUGACAUAGAGACCACGAUUAUAUUAAAAUAGUUACAGCAAAUAUGAUUUGUGUGAUACACACACUGAAUUUACCUUCAACUUAAGGGAUCUGAACAGCUGUCAAACCAGGAUUCUUCAUGUAAUUGAUUUUGAACCUAUACUUUAUCUGUGCUUUUUCAAAUUUAGGCUUAUUAUUCAGUCAACACUAACAAUUUGGAACUUGAUUAUCUAAUACAACAUAAGCUUUCUCUUCUAGCUUUAUGCCAUUUACAAAUUUGAUAGGCAUGUUUUAUUCAUCUUCAUUCACGUAGUGAUAGACGUUUUAAAAAUAUUAGGUCCAAGAAUAGAAUCUUGUGAAUGACCAUAGACAGUUCCUUGCAUUUCAGGAAUAGAAUGUUUAUCACUGCAGUUUGAAUAUUCAUCUGGUUCUACAAUCCUCAAACUCUGGACAAAAGAAACCCUGGUGGUAGGUUGUGGAUAUCAGGAAGUACUCAAAGCCACCGAAUACAUCUAAGGCAUAUUCUAGUCAUAUCAAUAUUGCUUGAAGAUUUGAUUGAUUUAUUUAGAUAUCAAUUUUGUUUGAAUAUUUGGAGAAAAACAACUAGUUUAAUUGGCAAAUAAUUUGAAGUAUUACUUUUAAUUGUAUAUACACAAAUGUUAUAACUUUUAAAGGUAAUAAUGAGACUUAAAUAUUUUUGAGCUUUAUUUUGCUUUCUGUCUGAGGCCAGAGUGUUCACUAUCUUCUGCCUUUAGGAACCCUUUGGUGAAAAUGUUUCAGUGUCAUCACUCUGUCAAGACUUUUCAAUAUCUUUCCUAAGGAUUUCAGCACUUGUCUUACCUGCUGCGAUGUGAGGAAGGACAUGUUUGCUUCCCCUUUCACCAUGAAUGUAAGUUUCCUGAGGCUUCCCUGCCCUGAGGAACUGUGAGUAAAUUAAACCUCUUCCCUGUACUUUAUGGCAGUGUGAGAAUGAACUAAUACACAUAUAGAUAAGGGUGGAACUGAAAUUUAAAGAGAUGUUGUUAAGGCUUCAGAAGAUUUACUUUGACUAUUGCCUUCUCCUUAAUUACAUUCAAACAUAUAUAUUCACACAGAUCCAAAGCACUGUGGUAAUUAUGAUGGAGGAAAUGGUAGAGAAGCACGUUAUGAGUACUUAUGAUGCUGGGUUCUUGAAGGGACAUAUCUAUUUAUUUUGAAAUAGGGACUCACUUUGAAACCCAGGCUGGAGGCUGGAGUGCAGUAGCACAAUCUUGGCUCACUGCAGCCUCGACCUCUAGGGCUCAGGUGAUUCUCCCACCUCAGCCUCCUGAGUAGCUGGGACUACAGGAGGAUACCACCACACCUGGCUAAUUAUUAUUAUUAUUUUUUUCAGAGAUGGGGUUUUGCCAUGCUGCCCAGGCUGGUCUCAAACUUCUGGGUUCAAGUGAUUCUCCCCCUUGACCUCCCAGAUUGCUGGGAUUGUAGGUGUAGCCACUGCACCUGGCCAUGGAAAGGACCUAUUCUAAAGGAGCUUAAAAUCUAGUAGGCAACAGAAAGUUACAGGGUAAUGAUCCUGGAGCCAGUCCACGUACUACAGUGAUAGUAAUUAGAAGAAAUGGUUGGAUAAAUGGCAAAUCCUUUUUUAAAAAUUCAAAGGUGACUAAGGAUAGGGAGGUUGUGGGGUUAUUUUUCAGAUUAGUUUUGCAAAAGCACCUUAUUUAUCUAGUAUUAUUAGAGAGGAACUAGUUUUCCUAGGGUUAUAUUUCCAAACUGUUAAAACUGAAAAUCUCUAAGUACUAAAAUGUUUCCUAUGGUAAAUAUUUUAAAGAACAAGUUUCUAAAAUAUAUUAGGUUUUGCUUACUUCUAAGAUUGGCCAUGACUUUAAUAUUUGCUAAUAUCUCAGGGUUAUUGUUUAAAUAUUAACUUAUAUGCUAGCAUUAUACUGCAGUGAUACCUUUAGGAGUUGUUUUAUGGCACAGAUUUGUUUUUGCAGGAAGAGUCCUAUACUGACAGGUUAUAUGAGUUAGUUUAUCUGAUUGAUUUUUUUCCCGUCUCUUGCUUAAGAGGGCUCCUUAAGGCUCCCUGCUGUUGUCCUGUGUGCCUGCUUUGUGUAACACCCCCUUCAGAUUGACAUAUUGAGAUCUCCAGAGCAAAGUGAAAAAAAAACCACAGAGGCUUUUUCUUAAGAAAAAGAAAUAGGCUUCAAGUAAGUAUUUAAAGGGCAUUCUUAUGAGUAAGCUACAGGGACUUGGUGUUCUCUGUUUCGCUGUUCAGAGGUUUUAUUUAUAUCUUUCAAAUUCUUUGUUGUAUUCUGGAUGCUGAAGGUUUCAGCUAUAUCCUCUCGGAGUUGGAUAUGACCAUACAAUUCUACAGCACUUUUUUCAUAUCUAAUUUUUUUUGUUGGAGUUAUUCAAACUGGAGACCAAUCUUUUUAAAAAGAAUAAAUAUCUAUGUCCUUCUUAGGCCAG